rnacentral:rRNA from 1 species
ACCCGCUGAACUUAAGCAUAUCAAUAAGCGGAGGAAAAGAAACCAACAGGGAUUGCCUCAGUAACGGCGAGUGAAGCGGCAACAGCUCAAAUUUGAAAUCUGGCCCUCCCGGGUCCGAGUUGUAAUUUGUAGAGGACGUUUCGGGUCCCGCCCCGGUCUAAAUUUCUUGGAACAGAAUGUCAGAGAGGGUGAGAGCCCCGUCUUGGACCGGUCGGUCGGGCCCGUGUGAAACUCCCUCGACGAGUCGAGUUGUUUGGGAAUGCAGCUCAAAAUGGGUGGUAAAUUUCAUCUAAAGCUAAAUAUUGGCCAGAGACCGAUAGCGCACAAGUAGAGUGAUCGAAAGAUGAAAAGUACUUUGAAAAGAGAGUUAAACAGUAUGUGAAAUUGUUGAAAGGGAAGCGCUCACAACCAGACUUGAGCCGGGCGGUUCCCCCUUCGUUCUCGUUGGGUCAUUCCGCCCGGUCCGGGCCAACAUCGGUUCGGGUGGCCGGUCAAAGGUCCCGGGAAUGUAUCUACCCCUCGGGGUCGACUUAUAGCCCGGGGCGUCAUGCGGCCCACCCGGACCGAGGCACGCGCUUCGGCACGGAUGUUGGCGUAAUGGUUGUCAGCGGCCCGUCUUGAAACACGG